CCUACGGGUGACUGCAGUGGGGGAUAUUGCACAAUGGGGGAAACCCUGAUGCAGCGACGCCGCGUGGGUGAAGGAGUUCUUCGGCAUGUAAAGCCCUGUCGGCAGGGAAGAAGCAAGACGGUACCUGACUAAGAAGUCCCGGCUAACUACGUGCCAGCAGCCGCGGUAAUACGUAGGGGGCGAGCGUUGACCGGAUUCACUGGGUGUAAGGGGAGCGUAGACGGCCAAGCAAACCAGGGGUGAAAGCCCGGGGCCCAACCCGGGGACUGCCUUUGGAACUGGAUGGCGGGAGUGCGUGAGGGGAAGGCGGAAUUCCUGGUGUAGCGGUGAAAUGCGUAGAUAUCAGGAGGAACACCGGUGGCGAAGGCGACCUGCUGGACCGUGACUGACGUUGAGGCUCGAAAGCGUGGGGAGCGAACAGGAUUAGAUACCCCAGUAGUC
rnacentral:rRNA from 1 species